GACGAACGCUGGCGGCGUGCUUAACACAUGCAAGUCGAACGGAAAGGCCCUGCUUUUGUGGGGUGCUCGAGUGGCGUACGGGUGAGUAACACGUGAGUAACCUGCCCUUGACUUUGGGAUAACUUCAGGAAACUGGGGCUAAUACCGGAUAGGAGCUCCUGCUGCAUGGUGGGGGUUGGAAAGUUUCGGCGGUUGGGGAUGGACUCGCGGCUUAUCAGCUUGUUGGUGGGGAAGUGGCUUACCAAGGCUUUGACGGGUAGCCGGCCUGAGAGGGUGACCGGCCACAUUGGGACUGAGAUACGGCCCAGACUCCUACGGGAGGCAGCAGUGGGGAAUAUUGCACAAUGGGCGGAAGCCUGAUGCAGCAACGCCGCGUGCGGGAUGACGGCCUUCGGGUUGUAAACCGCUUUCGCCUGUGACGAAGCGUGAGUGACGGUAAUGGGUAAAGAAGCACCGGCUAACUACGUG
rnacentral:rRNA from 1 species